AUCGGAAUCAAGUGCUUGUAUGGAACACUUUUUUAUUUAACGAGAUAUAUUCACGAAAUUAGAUCGGAAUCAAGUUCUUGUAAGGAACCUUUGUAUUUGUGAGGGUUAUUAUAACUUCGGUACAACCGAAGUUAACGUUUUUUUUGUUAUUGAUUGUUUUAUUAUGUUCGAGGUAAUCGAUGAAAAAAAUUCCAAUUGAAUUUCAAAAAAUAUUAAAUAAAAUCAAUCCAUUUUUGGAGCUGCUCUCAUUAUUUUAUGUUUAAACAGACGGCUCGAAAAUGGUAGAGGAUAUUAGUACAGGUAUGAUCAAUGCAAUCAGCAUGUAUGUAUGAUCGGUAUUGUAAUGUAGAGUGGAGCUACUAUAAACCAGAGAUAAUAGAACACAAAAAGUUCAAGCAACUAAUUGUUCUUCCAAAGACAAACUUAGGCAGUUAGUGCCGAUUUAUAGGCCACUGCAGGCUAAUAUGUCAUCUGCACAAAUUAGGCUUCUGUUCUAGAGAUCAAUGUUAGUUCUUCCACCUUGCAGCCUUGGUAAAACUUUUACAAAUAACAAUAAUAAGAAAGAUACAAUUAGGAACAUAUAAUGUUAUACCCACAUUUGUUAUUAGUUUUAUCUGGAUCAUAUAUUAAGGGCCCUUUGUUUUUACCGUCUACGGGAUGAGUUAAUUGUUCAGAGAUUCUUGUACCGUCGUGUUGCAUAUGAAAAAUCAUCAAAUCUGUAAAAAAAAAAGAAUAUAUAUUAAAUUAUGCGUGCGAUACAAAAAAGUACUAUACGCAUACGAACAUUUAUCGAUAUUUGGUAAAGUUUUUAGAACUCAACCCAAAUGUCACAAUUAUUUUAUUAUAUUAUUAUUUAUACUAACUGCGUUAAAAAAUUUGGAAUGUAAAAAAAAUACCAUUGAAGUUUUCAAUAUAUGUAUAUUUAUCUAUAUAUAUAAAAAUUACGUGCUACGUUAAACUGAACCGAUUUUAGUAAAAUUUAGCACACUGUGCCCAGUUUGAUUAAUCUUAAAAGUUAGGAUAGGCCGAGACGUUCGGAUGCCUGAUUGGUGAUAAUGAAACGAGUUUACAGCUGGUCGCUCAUAGUUUGGGUGAACAUGCUACACAGUGUUUUUAGAUGACACACAAUACUUUCCAUUUUGCUGGUGUCGUCAAAUACCGCAACAUUGGGUGUGGAACGCCGAGAAGGCUAAGAAUGUGAUGUGUAAUUUGGAGCACACCACCUUGCGGGAGGUAACGGCCAACACUGCUAUUUAUACGUAGAGGACUGUCAUCUAUAAAAGAUCAAGAAUUCGUAAAUGUAUACUAUGAGAUGCCCAAUUUCAAUCCAACACGCGUUUCGCCAUGGAGAAGGAAAUGAAUGCUGUGCUGUAGUUAUACGGCUUGUAAGCCAACUAUCGUCCUUUGGCUUUAUUGUGUGAGCACAAAGAUAUCUUCAUCUUAACUAAAAAUCUUUUGUUUGGAUAGAAAAUGUCAUCAGCUGAUAUUUUAACAAUUUGUUUGAUUGUCUUAACAUAGAUAACCCAUAAUAAUAAUUAGCUUGGUUACCAAACAAAUGUUAAUAUAACCAAACAAAAUUUUACGUAAACUAAAAAAAAAAUGCUAUGUUCGAAUUUCAGUACAAUUUUUGAUGUUUCUUAGCCAAGCCAAGUUCUCAAGCUGGACUUCAAUAUCAUCAUUUUAGUUUUUAAAUUAUAAAGUAUAAGUUACCUAUUAGUAUUAAGAACUAAAUCAAUUAAUUUAAUAUAUGUACCUAUAUGUCCAUAAUGUGCGAAUAUUAACAGUUAGUUAAUUAAUGUAACUUUUAUUGUAAACUAUAAAAACUAAAAAAAUACAUAAGGUUCUUACCAAAAAAAAAAAAAAAAAAUUAUGUUGUACUAUAUGUAUGUAUAUACAUAGAUUAAACAUAUUGAAUGGUGCUAAUGAACAAGGUGGUCUUUCUUCGUGGACGCACUAUAUGGAAAAGGUAAGACUUCGAGUUCAAUCCUUUGAAAUCUUAUACCGGAAAUAACCUUAUCGUCUUUGUUUGUAUAUAAUAUUUUCAUGUAUUAAAGACCACGCAUAGCCUAUUGCCUACCAGAGUAACUGGCGUCCCUAAAUAAAAGCGGCAGCGGUAAUUACUGUACAAAUUCCUCCUGCACAUAGAGUUUGUAUGCCGCAUAUUAAUGAUUGUACAAAUGGAUGCAAAUAUUAGGUAAAGUAAAAAGUUCGUUCGGUUUUUUAUUGAUUUUUCAAAAGAUGAUAACCUUGUGUACAUCAAAUAUGCGCAGUUUUGUUCGUAAACUUGUUGCCAACGAGAUGCCAACUUCAUUAACCCCUCUCGUAGAAGACUGCGUCCCUAUAGCCAAAAAACUCGGAGAGUCAAUUUUCACAGGCCUCUCUUAAGGCCAACUUCUCACCAUUAAGCGCGUUCGCCAUGGACUGGAAAAGAUGGUAAUCACUUGG